UCUCCCCUCCAGAAUCCUGGCGAUGCUUCCUGAGCCUGUGAGAAAACCGGCUGGCUUUGCAUGCACACAGAGGCAAAGCCAAGAUUUUGUGAGCCUGGGGUAAGAUUCUCAGCCCUGGACAUCACUGCAAGGGAGCUCCUGUGCAUGCGAUUGCUCCUGUGCAUGCGAUUAUAAACUGCAAAUGUGACUGGGACCAAAGGAGUUACCUCAGGAGCUGGUGUAGAGUCUACCCAUCUUUCGAUUUGGGGAAAGGGGAGAUGAAAAGUCAUUUCUCCUUUCUCUGGAUUCAUGCAAUCCGUUAACUGUAAUUGUCUCUCCCUGCUUGCUCCAGUUGUUGAUGUAUUGCCUCUCGGUUCCAAGCGCACCCACCCUUUUUUGUCUUGCUUUGUCCUCCUGAAGCCGAACUCUGCGCCUUGCAGUUCUCCUUAAUGGCCGCCUGCCUGGUACACUCUACCAAUAGAGGGCGCCGUGAAGCGGGAGGUAGAAGAAGGUGCGCUCCGUUCUGUUUCCCCAACAGUUGCUAGCAAAUCUGGGUGCAGAGGAUCCCAGCAGUUUUCCCUGCAGUGGUGGCAGCUCUCAGUGUCCUGGGGUGCUUGAUAGGAUUGACCCCAUGACCAGACCCUGCCAAUGAAUUGUGAGAGGAAAUGAGAGUGCUACUUUUGGGCACAAUGAUGAGUUGCUAGAAUGGGACACUCCUGAAUGCUCUCUUCCUGUGCCACAAGGAGCAGCCAUGUUCCAGGUGAUGGCCGCUCUGCCAGUGUAGAUCCUGCAGAGAUGACAUGGGGUAGAUCCCCCAGUUGACUCACGAGAGACCAAGCAAGAAAUACAGAUUUGUUGUGUUAAUCCACUGAGAUUGUGGGGGGUCACCAUGAAGCACAACCGAUCCUUUCUUGGCACAAAGAUCAGACAUGAGAAUCACGUGCAAUUAUAAACAUUGGAUGGAGAGGUUCUGACAACAUUAAAGCACUCUACCCAAAGAAGGAAUUAGCAUCCCUGAAUUAGCAGGUUUGGGAGUGAUACACUCCUGUCUCAACUGGAACAGUCCAAGAGGUAGCUUCCUGCAACAUCUCCAGCUCUGAUUCCUGCUCAAGGUUAUGCUCCUGAUGGUUGCGCUGCUGGAAAGGUGAGACAAACCACCUGGGGUUGAAAGUGCUUCAGAGCCGCCAAGGAUGGGAUGGGCUUUCCAAAUGGCUUCUUCAGUUGAGCUGAAGGCCCAGAAUGUAAUGUUUGUUUAUGUGCCAUGCCAGUUUAGACUGUCCUGAAAGUGUGUGUAUGUGUAUAUGAGGGUGUGAGAGAGAAUACACACAUGCGUUUAACUUGCA